rnacentral:rRNA from 1 species
UACGUAGGGUGCAAGCGUUAUCCGGAAUCAUUGGGUUUAAAGGGUCCGCAGGCGGUUCUAUAAGUCAGUGGUGAAAUCUCUCGGCUCAACCGAGAAACUGCCAUUGAUACUGUAGGACUUGAAUUCGGUCGAAGUGGGCGGAAUAUGACAUGUAGCGGUGAAAUGCUUAGAUAUGUCAUAGAACACCGAUAGCGAAGGCAGCUCACUAGGCCUGGAUUGACGCUCAGGGACGAAAGCGUGGGGAGCAAACAGGG